AUUGAACGCUGGCGGCAUGCUUUACACAUGCAAGUCGAACGGCAGCGCGGGGCAACCUGGCGGCGAGUGGCGAACGGGUGAGUAAUACAUCGGAACGUACCCAGAAGUGGGGGAUAACGUAGCGAAAGUUACGCUAAUACCGCAUACGUUCUACGGAAGAAAGUGGGGGACCUUCGGGCCUCAUGCUUUUGGAGCGGCCGAUGUCUGAUUAGCUAGUUGGUAGGGUAAAGGCCUACCAAGGCGACGAUCAGUAGCUGGUCUGAGAGGACGACCAGCCACACUGGGACUGAGACACGGCCCAGACUCCUACGGGAGGCAGCAGUGGGGAAUUUUGGACAAUGGGCGCAAGCCUGAUCCAGCAAUGCCGCGUGAGUGAAGAAGGCCUUCGGGUUGUAAAGCUCUUUUGUCAGGGAAGAAACGGCCGAGGCUAAUACCUUCGGCUAAUGACGGUACCUGAAGAAUAAGCACCGGCUAACUACGUGCCAGCAGCCGCGGUAAGAC
rnacentral:rRNA from 1 species